rnacentral:rRNA from 1 species
CGCGCAAGCGGGUGAAUAAGUCGGUGGUGAGAGCUGUUCGCUCAACGGACAAAACCCGCCGUCGAUACUGUUCAUCUUGAGUGCGGGAGAGGGUGAUGGAAUUCCUGGUGUAGCGGUGAAAUGCGUAGAUAUCAGGAAGAACACCUGUUGCGAAGGCGGUCACCUGGUCCGCAACUGACGCCCAGUGCGCGAAAGCGUGGGGAGCAAACAGGAUUAGAUACCCUGGUAGUCCACGCCCUAAACGAUGGGUACUAGGUGUCGGCCCCGCUCGGUACUUGCGAGACGAGUUCCGAGCGGGGUCGGUGCCGAAGCUAACGCAUUAAGUACCUCACCGUGGGGAGUACGAUCGCAAGGUUGAA